rnacentral:rRNA from 1 species
GACGAACGCUGGCGGCGUGCCUAAUACAUGCAAGUAGAACGCUGAAGGAGGAGCUUGCUUCUCUGGAUGAGUUGCGAACGGGUGAGUAACGCGUAGGUAACCUGCCUGGUAGCGGGGGAUAACUAUUGGAAACGAUAGCUAAUACCGCAUAAGAGUAGAUGUUGCAUGACAUUUGCUUAAAAGGUGCAAUUGCAUCACUACCAGAUGGACCUGCGUUGUAUUAGCUAGUUGGUGGGGUAACGGCUUACCAAGGCGACGAUACAUAGCCGACCUGAGAGGGGGAUCGGCCACACUGGGACUGAGACACGGCCCAGACUCCUACGGGAGGCAGCAGUAGGGAAUCUUCGGCAAUGGACGGAAGUCUGACCGAGCAACGCCGCGGGAGUGAAGAAGGUUUUCGGAUCGUAAAGCCCUGUUGUAAGAGAAGAACGAGUGUGAGAGUGGAAAGUUCACACUGUGACGGUAUCUUACCAGAAAGGGACGGCUAACUACGUG